CCUACGGGAGGCAGCAGUAGGGAAUCUUCCACAAUGGGCGAAAGCCUGAUGGAGCAACGCCGCGUGGGUGAAGAAGGUCUUCGGAUCGUAAAACCCUGUUGUUAGAGAAGAAAGUGCGUGAGAGUAACUGUUCACGUUUCGACGGUAUCUAACCAGAAAGCCACGGCUAACUACGUGCCAGCAGCCGCGGUAAUACGUAGGUGGCAAGCGUUAUCCGGAUUUAUUGGGCGUAAAGGGAACGCAGGUGAUCUUUUAAGUCUGAUGGGAAAGCCUUCGGCUUAACCGGAGUAGUGCAUUGGAAACUGGGAGACUUGAGUGCAGAAGAGGAGAGUGGAACUCCAUGUGUAGCGGUGAAAUGCGUAGAUAUAUGGAAGAACACCAGUGGCGAAAGCGGCUCUCUGGUCUGUAACUGACGCUGAGGUUCGAAAGCGUGGGUAGCAAACAGGAUUAGAUACCCCAGUAGUC
rnacentral:rRNA from 1 species